ensembl:lncRNA
UUCCCAAGACAUUUUGUAAACCACAAAACAGGAAAGGUCCCUGAAGCUAAAUCAGUUAUCUAAGUGAAUCAGAGGAGCCUAUUUAUAGAUUAUUGUAAUGUAAAACCAGAAUUGCCCCAAAAUGUUUCCCUUUUGGUAAGACCAUAUUCGGCUUCCAUAUUAUGAAGCAUGCUUUGAUUAACAAAAUAAUGCUCUGGCCAAAACAUACUACACCUUUUACAAAGUAGAGAUUAAAAUAUUCUUUCAUUCCUUUGUGUGAGAAUUUCGAGGCAGAGGAACUGAAGAAUAAAUAAAGCAGGCUUGGUUUUAAAAUGAGUUACACAGAAUAAAUAUUUACAAGAACAGUUUUCUUCUAUUUUUAGAAAAACUGACCAAAAAGUCCCCAGUGGCAUCAACAAAAUUCACUAUUCCUUAAGUACAUCUGAACCCAAAAUAUAACAAUAUCAUUUUAAUCCUUGGCACAGAUUAAAUACCCACAGUCUUAUUUUAACAUGGUCAAAAUAGAAAUCUAUACAUGUAUAUUUAUACAUAAAGCCACACACUGUAUAAUGUCUUGGCUGGUGUGUGUUGCAGCAUUACCAUAAAUAAUUUAAAAGCAAGAUACAAUUCUAAGGAGAAAGGAACAAAGGACAUUUUACCAAACUGAUUCUCUGAAUCUUCCAAAUUGUGUUUGCUCACUCAUCCAACAAGUUGAAAAAUUUAGUAAUCUUCAGCUGGCUUCCUACUCAUUACUGUGAAUUAGCAACAUUCUAAUUUAAUUCAAAAGCAAUUCCUUCUUUAAAAUAGUUCUCAUAUCAAAAGAACUUCACAUCAGCCCAAGGCAACUUUUUAGUUAUUCUGCUGUCAAUUUGGGACACAUGAAUGUUAUGCCAAAGAGAAAGAAAAAUGGUGUCUGGAGCAAAAGGCCAAAUCUAUGGCAAUCUAGAAAGGUUACUUUAUGGGAAGAUUAAAUAAGAAUUGCUCCUAAUUUUUUUUGUUAGUUCACACAUAAUAAUCUAAAUUUAAUGAAAGGAUAUUCUAGUUUUGGGCUGUAAUUUCACAGCUAUAAAGGUCAACAGUUUAGUUUUCUAAUACAUACUGUAAGCUCCAGUAUUUUAGAUUUAUUCAGAAACUGCUUCCAUCUUGAUUGUUACAAAAACCUUGAUUUCUGAAUUUUUAAUGUACCUCAAGCAUUUCUUAAGUGUAUAUAACAUGCCAGGCUGGAUGACUAUAAAGACAGAAAUGAUAAUGAUCUCUGCCCUUAAGGAAUAUACUCUAUCUACCAAAGUGUUGUAUUUCUCCAUUUGAUUGACCAUAAGUUUCAGGAUGGUAGGGUCUAGUGCAGCAUACAUUUUGUAUCUCCUGACAAUCAGAGUGUUCUAUAAAAUACUUGACAAGUACAAGUAUAAGGAAGUACCAUCAAUUCAUAAAUAUCUGUUGUACUCAACUGGAAUACAGCUCCUUUAGUUGACAGUGAAGUAUUUUAUACCGAAAAAGAUUAUCAAAUAUAUUCUGUUCUAUGAUGUAAAAGUCUUUUGAUACUUUUCUGUUUAUAUGGUAAUUUAAAGAUUACAAAGCACUUUUCUCAAAACUCUUGAGUGGUAGAUAAGUUUAUAAACCUUAAUAUCUAUAAAUGUAAGAUACUGCCAUUAUUUAGUUUAUGAUGAAAUUGAAUGUUUUCUUAAUUGUAAAGUGAGAGAACUAGAUAGUAUGACAUCUAAGAACAUAAUUUUUAAUCCUAUGAGACAGACUGUAAGAUGUUGUCUGAUUUUUCUGUAUGUAGACAGAGCUGAGAUUUGAACUCAUCUUCUGAGUCAAUCAAAUGUUUUUUCCAUUGUACAACAUAUUAAACAUUUUCUAUUAUGCUGAGCUAAGAAGAUGCACUAGUUUAAAUUUAUCCCUGGAAAAGUCUCAUUCCCUUAUAAUUACUGGAAUGAAGAGGACAAAUUUGCUUUUUCCUCACAUUUGGUAGGAUUUGAAGAAAGGAAAAAGAUCACAGAAUGUAGAUUUAGAGAUGAAAGGAACUUCAGGAGAAAUAGUACAUAGAUUGAACUAUGGGAUCCAUGAAUUUGUUUUUAAUUUUUUUUUCACAGAGACAUGUAACUAUUUUAAUGUGAUUUGUUUCUUUUGCUUUCCUGUGAGUUUUAUUUUAUAUAGUUAUUCUGAGAAAAGGCUUUGCAG